rnacentral:rRNA from 1 species
AACGUAGGAGGCGAGCGUUAUCCGGAUUUACUGGGCGUAAAGCGCGUGCAGGCGGCAUGGAAAGUUGGAUGUAAAAGCUCCCGGCUCAACUGGGAGAGGUCGUUCAAAACUACCAAGCUAGAGUACAGUAGAGGGAAGUGGAAUUCCGGGUGUAGUGGUGAAAUGCGUAGAUAUCCGGAGGAACACCAGUGGCGAAAGCGGCUUUCUAGACUGUAACUGACGCUCAGACGCGAAAGCUAGGGUAGCAAACGGGAUUAGAGACCCCGGUAGUCCUAGCCGUAAACGAUGUAGACUUGGCGUAGGAGGGUUCAAAUCCUUCUGUGCCGUAGCAAACGCGAUAAGUCUACCGCCUGGGGACUACGGCCGCAAGGUUAAA